ACGGGUGAGUAAUGCGUAGGGAUCUGCCUAGUUGAGGGGGAUAGCCUAGGGAAACUUAGGGUAAUACCGCAUAAUCCCGAGAGGGGAAAGCGUGGGACCGCAAGGCCACGCGCAAUUAGAUGAACCUACCUCGGAUUAGCUAGUUGGUGGGGUAAAGGCUCACCAAGGCGAAGAUCCGUAGCUGGUCUGAGAGGACGACCAGCCACACUGGGACUGACACACGGCCCAUACUCCUACGGGAGGCAGCAGUGGGGAAUAUUGGACAAUGGGCGCAAGCCUGAUCCAGCAAUGCCGCGUGUGUGAAGAAGGCCUUCGGGUUGUAAAGCACUUUCAGUGGGGAGGAAUGACUCUGAGUUAAUAGUUCAGAGAGGUGACGUUACCCACAGAAGAAGCACCGGCUAACUCUGUGCCAGCAGCCGCGGUAAUACAGAGGGUGCGAGCGUUAAUCGGAAUUACUGGGCGUAAAGGGUGCGUAUGUGGUUGAAUAAGUUAGGUGUGAAAGUCCUGGGCUUAACCUGGGGAUUGCGCCUGAUACUGUUUGACUAGAGUACUGUACAUGAAAGUGGAAUUUCCUGUGUA
rnacentral:rRNA from 1 species